rnacentral:rRNA from 1 species
UACGUAGGGUGCGAGCGUUGUCCGGAUUUAUUGGGCGUAAAGGGCGCGUAGGCGGUGCGGUAAGUCUGCAGUGAAAUCUCUGGGCUCAACUCAGAGUCUGCUGUAGAAACUGCCGUGCUUGAGUGUGGGAGAGGUGAGUGGAAUUCCCAGUGUAGAGGUGAAAUUCGUAGAUAUUGGGAAGAACACCGGUGGCGAAGGCGGCCACCUGGUCCGGCACUGACGCUGAGGCGCGAAGGCUAGGGGAGCAAACAGG